rnacentral:misc_RNA from 1 species
UACGAAGGGCCCGAGCGUUGCGCGGAUUCACUGGGCUUAAAGGGUGCGUAGGCGGAAUGGUCAGUGUCUUGUGAAAGCCCACGGCUCAACCGUGGAAAUGCAGGGCAUACUGCCAUUCUUGAGGCUGGUAUGCGUCGCCGGAACUGUAGGUGUAGCGGUGAAAUGCGUAGAUAUCUACAGGAACGCCGAAGGUGAAGACGGGCGACUGGGCCAGUUCUGACGCUGAGGCACGAAAGCGUGGGGAGCAAACAGG